UACGGAGGGUGCAAGCGUUAUCCGGAUUCACUGGGUUUAAAGGGUGCGUAGGUGGGCAGGUAAGUCAGUGGUGAAAUCUCCGGGCUUAACUCGGAAACUGCCAUUGAUACUAUCUGUCUUGAAUACCGUGGAGGUCAGCGGAAUAUGUCAUGUAGCGGUGAAAUGCUUAGAUAUGACAUAGAACACCAAUUGCGAAGGCAGCUGGCUACACGAAUAUUGACACUGAUGCACGAAAGCGUGGGGAUCAAACAGGAAUUAGA
rnacentral:rRNA from 1 species